rnacentral:tRNA from 1 species
GCUGUUGUAGCUCAGGGGUAGAGCACUUCCUUGGUAAGGAAGAGGUCUCGGGUUCAAAUCCCGAUAACAGCUCCA